rnacentral:rRNA from 1 species
AUUGAACGCUGGCGGCAUGCCUUACACAUGCAAGUCGAACGGCAGCACGGACUUCGGUCUGGUGGCGAGUGGCGAACGGGUGAGUAAUAUAUCGGAACAUACCUUGUAGUGGGGGAUAACUAUCCGAAAGGAUAGCUAAUACCGCAUACGCUCUAAGGAGGAAAGUGGGGGAUCGCAAGACCUCAUGCUAUAAGAGUGGCCGAUAUCUGAUUAGCUAGUUGGUGAGGUAAAGGCUCACCAAGGCAACGAUCAGUAGCUGGUCUGAGAGGACGACCAGCCACACUGGAACUGAGACACGGUCCAGACUCCUACGUGAGGCAGCAGUGGAGAAUUUUGGACAAUGGGGGCAACCCUGAUCCAGCAAUGCCGCGUGAGUGAAGAAGGCCUUCGGGUUGUAAAGCUCUUUUGUCAGGGAAGAAACGGUUGUGGCUAAUAUCCAUGGCUAAUGACGGUACCUGAAGAAUAAGCACCGGCUAACUACGUGCCAGCCGCCGCGGUAAGAC